rnacentral:rRNA from 1 species
AUUGAACGCUGGCGGCAUGCUUUACACAUGCAAGUCGAACGGGGUGAGGAGCUUGCUCCUCAUCUAGUGGCGAACGGGUGAGUAAUACAUCGGAACGUACCGUGUAGUGGGGGAUAAACGUAGCGAAAGUUACGCUAAUACCGCAUACGAUCCACGGAUGAAAGCAGGGGACCUUCGGGCCUUGUGCUAUACGAGCGGCCGAUGUCUGAUUAGCUAGUUGGUGAGGUAAAGGCUCACCAAGGCGACGAUCAGUAGCGGGUCUGAGAGGAUGAUCCGCCACACUGGGACUGAGACACGGCCCAGACUCCUACGGGAGGCAGCAGUGGGGAAUUUUGGACAAUGGGCGCAAGCCUGAUCCAGCCAUGCCGCGUGUCUGAGAAGGCCUCGGUUGUAAGGAC